rnacentral:rRNA from 1 species
UACGUAGGGUGCAAGCGUUGUCCGGAAUUAUUGGGCGUAAAGAGCUCGUAGGCGGUCUGUCGCGUCUGCUGUGAAAACCUAGGGCUUAACUCUGGGCGUGCAGUGGGUACGGGCAGGCUAGAGUGCGGUAGGGGAGACUGGAAUCCUGGUGUAGCGGUGAAAUGCGCAGAUAUCAGGAGGAACACCGGUGGCGAAGGCGGGUCUCUGGGCCGGUACCGACGCCGAGGAGCGAAAGCGUGGGGAGCGAACAGG